rnacentral:misc_RNA from 1 species
UUAAGUUCAGCGGGUAGUCCUACCUGAUUUGAGAUCAAACGUUCAAAAGCUGUCUUCACUGAGGGGAGACAUUUAUGAGCCCCAACGAACCUCCAUCACCGAAGGUUAUCUGGUGAAAAACGACAAGUGUAGAUAGUUAUCACACCUGCGACUCCACCAAACGCUGGGAAGCUGAUUCAUUUGAGAGGAGCCGACCACAG